rnacentral:rRNA from 1 species
UAUUGGACAAUGGGCGCAAGCCUGAUCCAGCAAUACCGCGUGUGUGAAGAAGGCCUUAGGGUUGUAAAGCACUUUCAAUUGGGAGGAAAACCUGCCGGUCAAUACCCGGUAGCUUGACAUUACCUUUAGAAGAAGCACCGGCUAACUCCGUGCCAGCAGCCGCGGUAAUACGGAGGGUGCGAGCGUUAAUCGGAAUUACUGGGCGUAAAGCGUGCGUAGGCGGUUCGUUAAGUCAGAUGUGAAAGCCCUGGGCUCAACCUGGGAACUGCAUUUGAAACUGGCGGACUAGAGUUUAGUAGAGGGGAGUGGAAUUUCAGGUGUAGCGGUGAAAUGCGUAGAUAUCUGAAGGAACACCAGUGGCGAAGGCGACUCCCUGGACUAGAACUGACGCUGAGACGAGG